CAUAAUCAUUAGUUUUUUAAUUGAGAACUUGUAUGAAUGGUUGAAUGAGAAAUAAACUUUUUUAAUAAAAAUAUUGAAUUUUACAUUUUAAUUAAAAGGUUAAAAUGAUUUUAAAAGACGAGAAGACCCUAUAGAGUUUUAUAAUUUAUGUUUAAAUUUUUAAAAAAAUUAAUUGGUAUUUUUAUUUAAAUAAAUUAUUUUAUUGGGGUGAUAAUAAAAUUUAAUUAACUUUUAUUUUUUUUUACAUUAAUAUAUGGAAAAUUGAUCCAUUACUAAUGAUCAAAAAAUUAAAUUACCUUAGGGAUAACAGCGUAAUUUUUUUUUUAAGUUCAUAUUAAUAAAAAAUUUUGCGACCUC
rnacentral:rRNA from 1 species